GGGGUUGUGGCUCAGAGGUAGAUUGCUCACCUACCAUGCGAGAGGCCCCGGGUUCGAUCCUCAGCACCACA
rnacentral:tRNA from 1 species